AUUAACUUCAUUUGUAAAUUAUCUGAACUCAAUCGAAUCUACAAUACGUUUUACUGUCUCAUGGAGCUCGUCUACGAUAUCCUUUUUGGAUAUCCUUAUUACCCUUAAUGCAGAGUGAAGCGCAUUACAUCAGAUCCCAAUGAACUGGAUUCCUCCAUAGAUACUAUGGCUGAUAAGUUUCGUGAGCGUGGCUAUACCCCUGCGGUGAUUGAUCAAGCAAUCACAAAGACUAGAUGAGGGGCCUGUCAUGUUCUCUUGCUCGGCCUCUACAUAUGCCAUGAUCCUCUGAUUCGGAAUUUCAGAAUUACAAUUGAUUGUGAUUGUCAAUUUUGCGCAACCUCUCCUGAGCGUGCAAAGUAACUACUUUGGGGUGGAACGCAUAUGCGUCUCAGCUGGAUCUCCUAGCGACGCUGAGGUUUCUGUAUAUGUUCGGCUUACCGGAAGUGAUGUCAUGGCAACGGUCCGCAUCUGCUGAUGUUAAAGGAUUGGCACACGCUGCAUUGGAACGCAUGUGCGUUCCACUAAGAUACCAGGUGACGCUGCUCUUCCCCCUAUGAUCAGAGGGGCGGAAGUGACGUCAGACGCCGGAUUUCCAUCGAGUGGACUCAGCAUGGACUAUAAAAUGUCACAGACAGUAAGGCUCGGUCUGCCUUUUUGAUUUUUUAUUUUUUUGUGCCCCUGAUGAAGACCCUUAAGGUCGAAACGCGUUGGGUUCAUUAUGAUUUGAUUUUUGUUUUGUAAUUUUUGUAUUAUUUUUUCUUUUUUGUCUAAUAAAUUAAUUUGGUUUUUCAAAAUUAGGUGUGCGAUCCAUUCCUUUUUCUGUUAAAUAUUAUGGAGACCCUUAUGGGGAGUCACCUUUGGAUCAGCACCCUGUAGUUUAUCCAAAGAGGGUGUGCGCCUUCUUUUUUAUAUUUUGAUGUUCGCAAAUGGUUAAAGACAUUCUGUAUGGACUUCUCUUUGCUUCUGUGACCACUUAGAAGUGAUGAUUAAAUAAUUCAAUUUCAGCGUGAAUAUUACCAAAGUCUAGAUGUGUUGUAAAGAUUGUA